UAAAAGGGUGGCAACAACCCCAGGAAAAUAUGCUUUAACCAAAUUAGAAGAGAUCCAAAAUCGUGAGUGGGGAGAAAGGGGAUAAAAAGAGGUUCAAAAAGGAAGAAAGAAAAAAAAAACAAAAAGAAAAGAAAAAGAAAAAAAAAAAGAAAAGAAAAGAAAAGAAUUUUUAAAAAAAGAAAACACCUAAGAAAAAUGUAAAAAUAUAUAUAUAUAUAUUAGAUAAACUAGUAAAAAAUCGUUAAAAAAGAAAAAGGUAACAGUUAAAAAAAAAAAUUUUACCCGAAGGUGAGAAAAAAAAAAAAUGAAAAAGAAAAAAUUAAAUUAACUGCAAGACUAAAAAAAACCACAGGAAAAAAGCCAUGAGUUCCGUGCUUGGCUUUCUCCUCCUCUGGAAUUCUUCUGCUCUCCUUGGUAUUGAAACCGCACUCCUUGGUAGGUGAACUUGGUCUCGGCUGGAUUUCUUGUUGAUCUUCUGGGGGAGGGGCCUGUUGUAGUGAUUCUCAAGUGUCUUUGGCCCAGGCGGAAUUACACCGCCCUUACCCGGGGCUGGGGUGAGUAAUCCGCUCGGGUUUGCUUUCAGGAGCUUUUGUUCCCUGAGCGCUUUCCGUAGAGUUCCAGAGGACGGGAAUACAAAUGGCGGCCUCCUGGUCUCCGGCCCGGAGGAGCCGAGAGCCCAGGGCCCCACUCCUCAGUGCGCCCUCAGAGAACCGCGCCCAGUUACUCCCGUCUGCCUGACCUCCGGCCGCGCUCCGAGCUCACCGAGCCUGCGACCGGUUCAAGGAUUGACAUAAAGGGUCAGCAGAGUGUUGCCUAGAAAGGGAUUUCUCCUUAUGGUACCAGAGUGCCACAAGAAGAAUGUUUGCUGGAGGUUGUGAAGAAUCAAUAGAGGAAACCAAAGAAAGGAGACAUGCGGUCUGAAAUUAAUACAGCUGGUGAAAUCAGACUUAAAGCAGGUCCAUUUAUUCACAGUUGACUGGAAUAACUGAAACUUGGAUUUUACAAUUAGAAUAUCUUAGAACAAGCAACUUACUUUAUAGAGGGACACAAAAAAGUAACAGGUGGGCUUUAUUAGUCUAAGUGAGUUGUACUAUAUUCUUGGUAAUGCAACAUC